UACGUAGGGGGCGAGCGUUAUCCGGAUUUAUUGGGCGUAAAGGGUACGCAGGUGGCUUUAUAAGUCAGAUGUGAAAGGCAGUGGCUCAACCAUUGCAAGCAUUUGAAACUGUAAGGCUUGAGUACUGGAGAGGAAAGUGGAAUUCCUAGUGUAGCGGUGAAAUGCGUAGAUAUUAGGAGGAACACCAGUGGCGAAGGCGACUUUCUGGACAGAUACUGACACUGAGGUACGAAAGCGUGGGGAGCAAACAGG
rnacentral:rRNA from 1 species